rnacentral:rRNA from 1 species
ACGUAGGUGGCGAGCGUUAUCCGGAAUCAUUGGGCGUAAAGAGGGAGCAGGCGGCCGCAAGGGUCUGUGGUGAAAGACCGAAGCUAAACUUCGGUAAGCCAUGGAAACCGGGCGGCUGGAGUGCGGAAGAGGAUCGUGGAAUUCCAUGUGUAGCGGUGAAAUGCGUAGAUAUAUGGAGGAACACCAGUGGCGAAGGCGACGGUCUGGGCCGCAACUGACGCUCAUUCCCGAAAGCGUGGGGAGCAAAUAG